rnacentral:rRNA from 1 species
UGGGGUGUGUAAGCGUAGCGAUACGUUGAGCUAACCCAUACUAAUUACCCGUGAGGCUUAACCAUACAACACCCAAGAAGUGUUCUG